UGCAAGUCGAACGGUGAUCUUGAGAGCUUGCUCUUGGGUGAUCAGUGGCGAACGGGUGAGUAACACGUGAGUAACCUGCCCCAGACUCUGGAAUAACUUCGGGAAACCGGAGCUAAUACUGGAUACGAAACGAAGCCGCAUGGCUAUCGUUUGGAAAGUUUUUCGGUUUGGGAUGGACUCGCGGCCUAUCAGCUUGUUGGUGAGGUAAUGGCUCACCAAGGCGACGACGGGUAGCCGGCCUGAGAGGGCGACCGGCCACACUGGGACUGAGACACGGCCCAGACUCCUACGGGAGGCAGCAGUGGGGAAUAUUGCACAAUGGGCGAAAGCCUGAUGCAGCGACGCCGCGUGAGGGAUGACGGCCUUCGGGUUGUAAACCUCUUUCAGCAGGGAAGAAGCGAAAGUGACGGUACCUGCAGAAGAAGCACCGGCUAACUACGUGCCAGCAGCCGCGGUAAUACGUAGGGUGCGAGCGUUGUCCGGAAUUAUUGGGCGUAAAGAGCUUGUAGGCGGUUUGUCGCGUCUGCCGUGAAAUUUCGAGGCUCAACCUCGAACUUGCGGUGGGUACGGGCAGACUAGAGUGUGGUAGGGGAGACUGGAAUUCCUGGUGUAGCGGUGAAAUGCGCAGAUAUCAGGAGGAACACCGAUGGCGAAGGCAGGUCUCUGGGCCACUACUGACGCUGAGAAGCGAAAGCAUGGGGAGCGAACAGGAUUAGAUACCCUGGUAGUCCAUGCCGUAAACGUUGGGAACUAGGUGUGGGUCUCAUUCCACGAGAUCCGUGCCGCAGCUAACGCAUUAAGUUCCCCGCCUGGGGAGUACGGCCGCAAGGCUAAAACUCAAAGGAAUUGACGGGGGCCCGCACAAGCGGCGGAGCAUGCGGAUUAAUUCGAUGCAACGCGAAGAACCUUACCAAGGCUUGACAUAUGCGAGAACGCGGCAGAGAUGUCGUUCUCUUUGGACACUCGUAUACAGGUGGUGCAUGGUUGUCGUCAGCUCGUGUCGUGAGAUGUUGGGGUUAAGUCCCGCAACGAGCGCAACCCUCGUUCUAUGUUGCCAGCACGUGAUGGUGGGGACUCAUAGGA
rnacentral:rRNA from 1 species